rnacentral:rRNA from 1 species
CAGUCGACGAGCGAGAGAGAGCUUGCUUUCUCAAGCGAGUGGCGAACGGGUGAGUAACGCGUGAGGAACCUGCCUCAAAGAGGGGGACAACAGUUGGAAACGACUGCUAAUACCGCAUAAGCCCACGGCUCGGCAUCGAGCAGGGGGAAAAGGAGCAAUCCGCUUUGAGAUGGCCUCGCGUCCGAUUAGCUAGUUGGUGAGGUAACGGCCCACCAAGGCGACGAUCGGUAGCCGGACUGAGAGGUUGAACGGCCACAUUGGGACUGAGACACGGCCCAGACUCCUACGGGAGGCAGCAGUGGGGAAUAUUGCACAAUGGGGGAAACCCUGAUGCAGCGACGCCGCGUGGAGGAAGAAGGUCUUCGGAUUGUAAACUCCUGUUGUUGGGGAAGAUAAUGACGGUACCCAACAAGGAAGUGACGGCUAACUACGUGCCAGCAGCCGCGGUAAAGCGUGGGUCACAAGCGUUGUCCGGAAUUACUGGGUGUAAAGGGAGCGCAGGCGGGAAGACAAGUUGGAAGUGAAAUCUAUGGGCUCAACCCAUAAACUGCUUUCAAAACUGUUUUUCUUGAGUAGUGCAGAGGUAGGCGGAAUUCCCGGUGUAGCGGUGGAAUGCGUAG